rnacentral:rRNA from 1 species
GGCUCUAGCCAUGCUGGACUGAAUGCACCCAGAAAAAUCUAAUCUUGAAACCUAAGCAAUCCCAGGCCUAGGUAGUACUUGGAGGACGGACCAUCUUUGAAUCCCAAGUGCUACAGGCG